rnacentral:lncRNA from 1 species
AGAACACCCGUGGCUCUGGAGGCUGAAGUCGAACAGCCAUAGGAGGCGGGGCACUGGACCCCGCCUGUUAUGGCUGAAGCCGUUUUUUCUUGUCACGCAGGGUCUUAACGCUAGAGAAGAGAAAUAGGCUACUGUUUUUGAGCACUUACCACACACUAUCAACUUUAUAGGCUGCUUAUUGGUCGGAAUAUCCUGUAGACGAGGAAACUGAGGCUCUGAGAGGUUCCCACCGCCAACGACAGGGAUUUGAAGCCCGAGGCUGCUCCCCGUUCCCACCCAAACCAGACGGCAGGUGUAAGGGCCGUGGUGGAGGCUGGUGAGGGUGCCACUUGCUUCUCCUUGACCUCGGGGAAGAUGAAGUCGUGAGUCAGGAGGGAGGCAGCUGGCCGGCUCCUGUGAUGUCAGAGCGGAUGGUCGUUGCCUUGGGGUUCGGUCUCACGCUCCGGAAGAACCUGGUUUCACGGUGAGAGAGUCCCCGUCUCUCAAGGGUUCUGUACUCAGGUUAGCUAACCUGAUGGUGACUGUGACUUCAGAAUUGAGCCAGGCUCUGAGCACUUCUUACCACGCCCACCUCUGCCCCCAUCUGGUCCAGCACCCCCGCCUCUCACCUGGGUUGUGGCAGCAGGCUCCUGCUUGGCCUACGGCUUCAGCCUCACCUUCUCAUUAAAAAGGAAAUGAGGUCAAGUCCGGUGACCUCAUGCUGGGCCGCACACAUCUUCUGGCUGCUUUGCAGCCCCUCUUACUAUCUCUGCUGUGGCAGGUGUGUAAUAGUUUGUCUGCUCACAAUGGGGAAACUGAGGCUCAGAGAGUCAAACGUUUUGCUCACGUUCACCUGAAUAGUCACCAUCCGGAUUUCAACAUAUGUCUUCUGAUUCUAAGCUCAGAGAGGUUCUUUCUACGGCACCACUCUGAACUUGAGACAAAGGAAUACUCAUAUGAACCAAUCAGAACAGUGGUUCCCUAACUUGGAAUCCUGGAUGCUUGUUAAGAAUCAACACUUCUCAGCCCCCUCCAGACUUGUUUGUAUACCUUUGUAACAGGAAUCCCAAGACAUGAGCUUUCAGUAGAACACUCCAACUGUGAAGGGUGCAGAUGUCAGCGUCAAGCCCUCUUUGAAGAAGCCCCUUGUUAAGGACUUUAGAUAUAAUCACCUAAUUAUCUUUCUUUUAAGGCUCCUUUGAAUAAGCCAUCAUCUCUGGGCAACGUAUUAGACUCUUGUAACCCGUCUCUUUCUGUGACACCUGGUUUCUAUGAAACCGUGACAGCUGCUUAGGCUGUGGGCACUUCGCACAAGUACCAGAGCUAAGUGAUUGCACUCUUGAUUGCUAAAGUGCUCUAACUCACUUCAAACCUCUGCUGGCUGCAUUUACAGUAGAGACCAGCAAGGGGGAUUAAUUAUAUUAAAUCUAUGCAGCCUAUCAUUUCUUAGUCUAUUUAUUUUAAUAUAGUGUUCCGUGUGUGGUUAAAAAAAAAAUCCUUGUUUUCAGUUUGAAAGCAACGGGACAUGAAAGAAACAACAAGCACUUAAGACUCUGACAAGACCUUUAGCUUCUCCUCUUUCACUAGCAGGCAUCAGCCAGCGAUCAUUAUUAACAUCUACCAUCAGUUCCAUGUUUGGCUAGAAACCACAGAGGAGGGCUCUGUUAAAUGAAAUUCAAAAUUUGUAAAAUCCUCCUGAGUCGUCUGUAGGGAGCUAAGUGUGGAAGCUGAUGGACCAGCUAGAGAGUGAUUACAAUAAACCAGACCAGGGACGACGGUGGCUUGGCCCGGGGUCAGCCACGGUGGAGUCUGGUCCACAAGGGACCUAGAGAUACUCAAAUCAACCCAAGGAAUGAACAAACACCAUACAAGUUCUGCACAUGGUGACGUGUCAGAUGACACUCAGCUGUCACUUAGAAGAACAAUGCCGUCUAUAGAACAAGGUGUGUGCAGAUAGCAAUCUCUUCUGAUUUCCUAGGAAUCCAGAUAUUCUUCAACUGGUCAUAACUUUACAACAUGUAGACUAUUGAUAAUAAGUUUUGGGGGGACAUUUUUCUGUCAAAAAUCCUACAUUUUUCAUGGUGCCACUGUGCAUAAAUCUAGAAUCUUUAGCUCGUUAUUUGUGUCUGUAUGUCCACCAGCAUGAAAAUGAAAGUCUUAAUACCCUGAACUCUCUCACCACAGACAUUAUGAUGAAUUAUGUCUGCAGAAUAUUGUGAUAUCUUACUUGUUUAAUGAUCUACACAAGGUUCUGGUUGGCCCAUCAUAAUUAGUGUGGAUAAAGGUAUCCAGUAGAAAAAAUGAGAGAGGGAUUAAAAUCUUACAUAAAAGCUAACCAUCCACAGUUACAUUUGUAACCAGAGAACAAUAACUAUGUACAUAUAAAAGUCCAGAAGGUAAUCGUCAUUUUUCCUGCCCGUGUACAGAGAGCACGUCUGGAAAUCAUUGUCUUAAAGGCAUGGACUGCUAAUCAACUAUCUCCAGUAGUGUGGAAUCCAGUGCAGUGUUAAAAAGACUAUAAAGGAUGUCUUGGAGACCAAGCUGCUUGGUGUAACACACGAAGGCCUUCUUCUCAUUGGGAGGGACAGAAAUCCACUUCAAACUUCUUGAUAAUACAUCAAAAUGGCUCUUACUUCAUCUAAUUCUGUCACAAACUUAGCCAUCACAGAUUCUUUUUCAAUUAUCUGCAAAAGAUAAAUCCUUAUAUGGUACUGUGUCUGACGUGGGACUAAAUUUCUCUAAGUUAGUUUGAGAAAUCUCUAAGCAAAACCAUUAUGUAGUCAUGAUCAAACCUCAUCAAUCACAAAAAAUCAUUAAGCUGAACUUGAAGACCCUUAGGAUAACCUGAAAUAGAUGGUUCCAGAAAAUAAUAGUGAUAGACAUGGAAUUACAAUAACAAUAUUACUAAUUAAACGACAAUAAUUGUUAUUAUUAUAAAAGACCACCAACAAGAUUUUCAUUUCUCAGUACGUCAUUUCAUGCUCAAUAUUAAAAUUCAGUCUUGUUCUAUUACUAAGAUAAUGUUCCAUUAAUGAGAUAAUAUUCUAUUUUCUCAAUCAAGAUGAAAUGAGGAUUUAUAAGGCAAACUAAAUGAAUUUCAGAUGUUUCUCUUUUUACAUCUCAUCUUGGCUCAUUUAUAUCGUAGACACACACAUUUGCGAAGAACCCUGAGGCUCUUAGCAGCUUUCCUCCUAGGCACAUUGACAUUUCACGGGACCCUGGAGAGAUUACACAGUGAGGAAGACAAUCAUUCUCGUCCGGCCUGGGCACCUGCUGCAGUACGGUCACCUGGUCUGGCUCCAUCGAAGCAGAAGGAAAGGAAGAUUUCACUCUGAGAGGGAAUAUAAGAGUCUGGGUGUCGUACCCACAUGUUUAUGUGAAAUGAGAUUGGUGAGAGGCUCAGAAUCCCAGCUCCGGCCAGUGCAACAAGCAAAGAAAGCAGGGGUCAGCGGGCUGCCAGCUCCCUCCAGGAGGGGACUCCCCUCUUAGCCUCCAGGCAUCGAUGAAGACCAGCUUCUCUUGCUGCUGUGAUGCUGCUCCACCUGCCCAGCUGUAUUGAGGGACUGUUAUUUCCAAGCAGUGAUGUACAAUCGUCAGAGCAAUAAAUAAUAUAUACUGGAUUACAAAAUAACCAGCCAUAAGAUAUAUAACAUUUUACUAAAGUAUAUAAUAAUGUAGUGUUCUAUGAAUUAUCUUUUUUUUUGAAGAUUUUAUUUUUUCCCCUUUUUCUCCCCAAAGCCCCCCGGUACAUAGUUGUAUAUUCUUUGUUGUGGGUCCUUCUAGUUGUGGCAUGUGGGACGCUGCCUCAGUGUGGCCUGAUGAGCAGUGCCAUGUCCGUGCCCAGGAUUCGAACCAACGAAACACUGGGCCGCCUGAAGCGGAGUGCGCGAACUUAACCACUCGGCCACAGGGCCAGCCCCAUGAAUUAUCUUGAAAAUCUGGUAGAAUGAAAAUUUGAGUCAUUAGCGUGGCUGAUGCAUGACCUGAACGCAUGACUCGGGGAGAUGGUGACUGAAGCUCCAGUAUAAAAAUAUGAAUCCUCCUAGUUUAUCGUUUCACCAUCAGAGUCUUCCCUUGGGGGCCCUUUAGGAGUUUUCAGUAAAAUCCAAAUUCCGUGUGGAGGAGCCACACCGUUAACGUUUGUUCAUUAACCUGGGAUGCUCAGAGGCUAGAUCAUGGGGAUGAGUGGACAGCCGAGCGCACCACUCUGAGAAUGGCAAACAAGGACCUGCUUUUCCCCAGCAUCCCAAAUCUCACACCCUUGAUGCCCCUGUGGAGCCCCAUCAAGUGAGAAGGAGACCAAGGAGGAAUUCAUGCCACAGGCCAGGUGAGAACUUGCCCUGAGAUAACAGCGAACAACGUAUUACAAGCACCAAUGUGAAAGCUUCUUUUAUGAUGUCGGGUCUUUUGGGAAGUUGAGUCUCUCAGGAGGGUUUAAAUCAUGACUUUGCAGCAUGAGGACGUUAACGCAGUCUUGAAACAGCACAACAUGUGCUGGCUCCACGUGUGCUGCCCUCCUGUAGGCUGUUACUCACAUCCAGCCCGCUGUCUGGACAAGGCAGCUACUUUUCUGUGUUCUUGACUCCCCUUAUUAAUUCUGUUACCAAGACAAUUAACUUGGAUGUCAAAAGACAAACGGAGGCAAUAAGAUUCUAAAGGACAAAUCUCCAGAAAGUAUUUUCUGCUUUUACUUAUCUUGAGAACUACCUUUCAUCUUAUGAAGCAGAAGAUAAGGAGCAGUGAGUCCACAUUUUUUAGACAUCCUCCAUAAUUUUGCUCCCCAUCCCUGCAAAUCUCAUCCGCCAAUGAAAGAUGGCUAAAAAUAGAAUUAAAUGUUCUACAAGCAUGAGUGUUCAAAUCCAUCCUUUCUCCAGAUAUCCAAUCACCAAAGAAAGAAGAUAAUGAUGCUUUUUCUUCAACUUUUAAACCCCCAUUUACCCACCGAGCAUGGUGUAGACAAUCAUUGCAGGUGUCACUUUCAUAAAGUGGUCGAGCACGUUGGCCAAUAAACACACAAUUCACCCAGAGCAGUGACAGCUCUUGGGUCGUCUCUUCAUACUUAAGGAAAGAGCUUAAAAUUUAAAACAAACAUAGAAGUAAUUGUUGUAAAAUCUGUCCAUAUUUGGGUUCAAUACAUUCAAUUUUUUUCUACCAAGAACUCAUAGAGAUGGCAGUAGAGACAACAAAAGGAGGAAAAACUCCAGAGUGCUUGGUAUUUUCUAAUUAUCCUUCCUUUAUUACAUUUAAUAGAGUGAAAAAGAAGGUAAGAUGUGAGCAAACCUAAAAAUGGUGAAGGCUUACUUUUCACCUUAUUAGAAAUCAGAAAACGUAUAUUUUUAAUGCCUGGUGCUUUGUUUAAAAAUUAAAUUAUCUUAAU